rnacentral:rRNA from 1 species
UACGGGAGGCAGCAGUGGGGAAUAUUGCACAAUGGGCGCAAGCCUGAUGCAGCCAUGCCGCGUGUAUGAAGAAGGCCUUCGGGUUGUAAAGUACUUUCAGUCGUGAGGAAGGUGUUAAGGUUAAUAACCUUAGCAAUUGACGUUAGCGACAGAAGAAGCACCGGCUAACUCCGUGCCAGCAGCCGCGGUAAUACGGAGGGUGCGAGCGUUAAUCGGAAUUACUGGGCUAAAGGGCACGCAGGCGGUUAAUUAAGUUGGAUGUGAAAUCCCCGGGCUUAACCUGGGAAUGGCAUUCAAGACUGGUUAGCUAGAGUCUUGUAGAGGGGGUAGAAUUCCAUGUGUAGCGGUGAAAUGCGUAGAGAUGUGGAGGAAUACCGGUGGCGAAGGCGGCCCCUGGACAAAGGACUGACGCUCAUGUGCGAAAGCGUGGGGAGCAAACAGGGAUUAGAUACC